GGACACCAGCCUGACAGAUAUUUGCUGUGCCCAAGAUGAAGGCCUGGUGCUUAGGGAGCGUCACUCCCAGGCGAUGGAAGGAUGCUUGAAGGUCUAAAGUCUUUUAGCCUUGGGCUCGCAAAUUCUGAAUCUCGGAGAUGUUUCUACCCUAAUCCUCACUUCCAGCCCGUUAUCUGACCAAAGAGAGCAGUCCGUUUAAAUUUGAAUAUGGAAAUUCUUCUGGCCAAUGAGACCAGAAGGGAAAUCUGAGGAAAGUUCCUGGGAAACAUUUCCUUACUCUUAAAAUGAAACAGACAAGAAGAAAUAGUUGGUGUCUCCACAUCAGGGCCCUGAUAUGAGGGUCUGUGAGGUCCAGGUGCUUUUGUGGAAGCAAGGGAAUCCCUGGACGGCGGAGUCCUUACUCCGAGGAAAGCAGAGAAAAAAAUGAGAAUAACCCAGGCCCCUCAUGGUGACCCGAAAGCCAGCCUCCUUCAUUACUUAGGCUAUUGACUAUAAGCAAUAUUCCUAUUCUUUGACUUGACUGGGGAUUGUUGCCGCUUUCUGCUGCAUGGAGCCUGGUUGGUGACGAGCACAGGCCUGGCUCCCUGAGGAUGGGAGUCUGCAGCAGAACACCUCUCACCCUCUCGGCCUUACAAGUCACCCAUCAUAAUCCUGAACUUGGAGUAUUCUUGGGGGCACCAUUAGACAUGGGAAAUAAUCCAGAGUUUCUUGUAAACGUUCACGGAUACUUUGAAGGACAAAUUAAAGGGCUAUGAUUAUUUUC